AUCAAGGUGUGGCGGCUGCCACACCUUGCCCACUGGGCUCCUCCGCCAGUGUGUCAUCUCAUAUGCCAACUCAAUGAAUGCUGAAUAGAAAGCAUGCAUGCUAACUUUUUUCAGUCAUUAAAGCGAACGGUGCGUCUAUCUAUAGCACAGACUGACCAAGAGAUUCACUGACCAGCAAAGCAGGGCUACCCUCGAAGUCAUCCAGUGUCCAGAUUUUCCCUGUCAGGGGCUCCGGGAGCUGCACAGUCAGCAGCAAGAAACCAUGAGGAACAACACGACAGCUACACGUGGCUUCAAUCUUGAUUAGAACAUGGGCUAGAAAUUACUAAAAAGCAAGAGCGACCUCGAAUUGGGGUGCGCGGAAGCCCACGGAGACGCCGGUGGACUCCAACCUGGCUGCGCGCACCCGGAGACGCGUACUGCGGCGGCCUCCCCUACCGAUACGCACGGACCUGGUGGGCGAGAGCCUGGCAUGGGCGGGACGAGGACGACGGUGAGGAGGAAAGCAGGGAGGCGCGCGCUCCGGCGGGUGCACGCGGCGAUCAGGGACAUGGCGCGUUCUGCUCGAGUAAAAUCACUGUUCUGACCUUGUCAGUGUUUAUAGUCACAAACUGAACUCGACGAGAAAGUAUUUCAUGAUUUGACUCUUUUAGAAACGCCAGGGUCCGCGGCGUUUCCACCCAACAUAGAAACGCCGAGCAAGCUAGCGUUUCAAGCCAACACGCAAACGCCGAGGCGGCUGGCGUUUCUGACCUGGCCCACAGUGAGUCUGAACCCGCUGUUUUCGCUGACGUGGCACGCUUGAAACGCCAAGGUCCUUGGCGUUUCUGACCAGGAUUAAGUAACGCGCACGGGCCGCGGGGGCCUAACCCAGCCAACUCCUCCGGUCGAGCAGUUCCUUCUCGACGACGAACUGGCGGCCGCCCCUCCCUCUUCUUCACCAAAUCUUUUCCAGAUCUGCUAUUUUGAUCAUCAAAACGAGGAGAUCGGAGCAUCCCCGAGUUGCUUGAGGAUUUUUGAGCCGGAUAAAUAUCCCGGCCUUGAUGAUUAUUACGAGGAGAAGCAUCGUGCUGUGCUAGUGGAAAGAGGGGAGGUUCCUCCAGUACUUCGUUUGAGAGGCCACAACCCACGUGAGUCCUUGAGGUAUGACCAUCGCUACGAGCCUUAUUUUAGAAGAAUGGAUCUUCUCCAGUUUGUGCUUAACUUUAAAGGCACACCACCAUGGCUGAACUCGACGGCCAUUACCGCCCUUACGGACUGUUGGAGACCGCAGACACACUCUUUUCACCUUGCUCUUGGUGAGAUGACCGUUACUUUGGAGGAUAUUGCGAUGAUCUCCGGUCUUCCGAUCGAGGGCAGGGCUCUUACCGGGAAGGUGAGGUCUGAGGGGUGGCGACAAAGGGUUGCAGGUUUGGUUGGUGUUGAACCUCCCCCGUGAAUUCAUGAA